AUUGAACGCUGGCGGCCGGCCUAACACAUGCAAGUAGUGAGAGCGGCGGACGGGUGAGUAAUGAAUGGGGAUAUGCCUGAUGGAGGGGGAGAACUACUGGAAACGGUAGCUAAUACAGCAUAACAUCAGAUGAACCAAUAUGGGAUUAGCUUGUAGGUGCGGUAACGGCUCACCUAGGCGACGAUCCCUAGCUGGUCUGAGAGGAUGAUCAGCCACACUGGGACUGAGACACGGCCCAGACUCCUACGGGAGGCAGCAGUGGGGAAUAUUGCACAAUGGGCGCAAGCCUGAUGCAGCCAUGCCGCGUGUAUGAAGAAGGCCUUCGGGUUGUAAAGUACUUUCAGUCGGGAGGCGUUACCGACAGAAGAAGCACCGGCUAACUCCGUGCCAGCAGCCGCGGUAAUAC
rnacentral:rRNA from 1 species